rnacentral:rRNA from 1 species
UGAGGAAUAUUGCGCAAUGGGGGCAACCCUGACGCAGCGACGCCGCGUGAGUGAGGAAGGCCUUCGGGUCGUAAAGCUCUGUCAAAGGGAAAGAAGUGCAUGGCGGCUAAUACCUGCCAUGUUUGACGGUACCCUUAAAGGAAGCACCGGCUAACUCCGUGCCAGCAGCCGCGGUAAUACGGAGGGUGCAAGCGUUGUUCGGAAUUACUGGGCGUAAAGGGCGCGUAGGCGGUUUUAUAAGUCAGAUGUGAAAGCCCACGGCUUAACUGUGGAAGUGCAUUUGAAACUGUGAGACUUGAGUACCAGAGGGGAAAGUGGAAUUCCCGGUGUAGAGGUGAAAUUCGUAGAUAUCGGGAGGAAUACCGGUGGCGAAGGCGACUUUCUGGCUGGAUACUGACGCUGAGGCGCGAAAGCGUGGGGAGCAAACA